GAGUUUGAUCAUGGCUCAGANUGUACGCUGGCGGCAGGCCUAACACAUGCAAGUCGAGCGGAAACGGCAACAUUGACUCUUCGGAUGAUUUGUUGGACGUCGAGCGGCGGACGGGUGAGUAAUGCUUAGGAAUUUGCCCAGUCGAGGGGGAUAACUAUUGGAAACGAUAGCUAAUACCGCAUACGCCCUACGGGGGAAAAGAGGGGACCUUCGGGCCUUCUGCGAUUGGAUAAGCCUAAGUGAGAUUAGCUAGUUGGUGAGGUAAUGGCUCACCAAGGCGACGAUCUCUAGCUGGUCUGAGAGGAUGAUCAGCCACACUGGAACUGAGACACGGUCCAGACUCCUACGGGAGGCAGCAGUGGGGAAUAUUGCACAAUGGGCGCAAGCCUGAUGCAGCCAUGCCGCGUGUGUGAAGAAGGCCUUCGGGUUGUAAAGCACUUUCAGCAGUGAGGAAGGUAUAUACGUUAAUAGCGUAUGUAUUUGACGUUAGCUGCAGAAGAAGCACCGGCUAACUCCGUGCCAGCAGCCGCGGUAAUACGGAGGGUGCGAGCGUUAAUCGGAAUUACUGGGCGUAAAGCGCAUGCAGGUGGUUUGUUAAGUCAGAUGUGAAAGCCCUGGGCUCAACCCGGGAAGGUCAUUUGAAACUGGCAAGCUAGAGUACUGUAGAGGGGGGUAGAAUUUCAGGUGUAGCGGUGAAAUGCGUAGAGAUCUGAAGGAAUACCGGUGGCGAAGGCGGCCCCCUGGGCAGAUACUGACACUCAGAUGCGAAAGCGUGGGGAGCAAACAGGAUUAGAUACCCUGGUAGUCCACGCCGUAAACGAUGUCUACUUGGAGGUUGUUCCCUUGAGGAGUGGCUUUCGGAGCUAACGCGUUAAGUAGACCGCCUGGGGGAGUACNGUCGCNAGAUUAAAACUCAAAUGAAUUGACGGGGGCCCNCAC
rnacentral:rRNA from 1 species